GGGGGGGGGGGGGGGGGGGCGGGGGGGGGGGGGGGGGGGGGGGGGGGGCGGGCGGGUGGGGGGUGCGGGAGGGGCGGGCGGGGGGGUGGGAGGUGAGUACCCUGCCCGUGGCUUGGGGGUAACUUGGGGAAGCGGGGGCUGCUCCCGGAUAGGAGCUCCUGCUGCAUGGUUGGGGUUGUACAGUUUCGGCGGUUGGGGAUGGACUCGCGGCUUAUCAGCUUGUUGGUGGGGUAGUGGCUUACCAAGGCUUUGACGGGUAGCCGGCCUGAGAGGGUGACCGGCCACAUUGGGACUGAGAUACGGCCCAGACUCCUACGGGAGGCAGCAGUGGGGAAUAUUGCACAAUGGGCGGAAGCCUGAUGCAGCAACGCCGCGUGCGGGAUGACGGCCUUCGGGUUGUAAACCGCUUUCGCCUGUGACGAAGCGUGAGUGACGGUAAUGGGUAAAGAAGCACCGGCUAACUACGUG
rnacentral:rRNA from 1 species